CACGUCAGCGUGCUAUGUUGACGUGGCAACAAAUCGCUCCCUCUAGGACGCGAUUUGCUGCCACAUCAGCAAAACGCACUGACGUGG
rfam:Gossypium hirsutum cultivar TM-1 chromosome 18, whole genome shotgun sequence